UACGGAGGGGGCUAGCGUUGUUCGGAAUUACUGGGCGUAAAGCGCACGUAGGCGGCUUUGUAAGUUAGAGGUGAAAGCCCGGAGCUCAACUCCGGAAUUGCCUUUAAGACUGCAUCGCUCGAAUCAUGGAGAGGUGAGUGGAAUUCCGAGUGUAGAGGUGAAAUUCGUAGAUAUUCGGAAGAACACCAGUGGCGAAGGCGACUCACUGGACAUGUAUUGACGCUGAGGUGCGAAAGCGUGGGGAGCAA
rnacentral:rRNA from 1 species